rnacentral:rRNA from 1 species
CUAUGCGCCUUGCCACGCCCGCUCAGAAACUACAAAGGAAUUGACGGGCCCCGCACAAGCAGCGGAGCGUGUGGUUUAAUUCGAUGCUACACGAAGAACCUUACCAGGGUUUGACAUACAAGUAGUAGGGAAAGGAAACUGGACCGACCCUUCGGGGAGCUUGAACAGGUGCUGCAUGGCUGUCGUCAGCUCGUGUCGUGAGAUGUUCGGUUAAGUCCGCUAACGAGCGCAACCCUCGCUGUGUGUUACAAGUGUCACACGGAACUGCCGGUCAUAAACCGGAGGAAGGUGGGGAUGACGUCAAGUCAGCAUGGCCUUUAUAUCCUGGGCUACACACACGCUACAAUGGGAAGGGACAAUAGGUUGCGAAACCGCGAGGUGGAGCCAAUCCAGCAAAACUUCCCUCAGUUCAGAUUGCAGGCUGCAACUCGCCUGCAUGAAGUUGGAGUUGCUAGUAAACGCAGGUCAGCCAUACUGCGUUGAAUACGUUCCCGGGGCUU